UACGUAGGGUGCGAGCGUUAAUCGGAAUUACUGGGCGUAAAGCGUGCGCAGGCGGUUGUGCAAGACAGAUGUGAAAUCCCCGGGCUCAACCUGGGAACUGCAUUUGUGACUGCAAGGCUAGAGUACGGUAGAGGGGGAUGGAAUUCCGCGUGUAGCAGUGAAAUGCGUAGAUAUGCGGAGGAACACCGAUGGCGAAGGCAAUCCCCUGGGCCUGCACUGACGCUCAUGCACGAAAGCGUGGGGAGCAAACAGG
rnacentral:rRNA from 1 species